GGGAAGAAAAAAAGACAUGCGAAAAGCAGGUUGUUUAGUCUUACAGAACAGAUCAAAGAACUAUCUACUAAAUGACAAACAGCCUCUUCCCUCCCUUUACCCAGUGGAAGUGUUGUUUGACAUGUGUCUGAAAUAAAUACAACAUUGCACACCAUAUUUUAUAGGGGACUUUUACGCAAUAUGACCAGAUGUUUAAUUUAAGCUGUAAACCUCUCACUUUCUUUAAAUAAGUCUGUCAGUAAAACUAGAGCGAAAAAAAUCCUGUGCCUUUAAAGAUCAUUAAGGCAAUAUAGCUUGUUCUCCACACAAAUAUUUUCAGAGGGAAGGUUAACUUAUGUUUCCUUUUAUUUUAUUUAUUGAGGACAUAAUAUGGACUGUUUAGCUUGACAUUUACACAUCAGUCCAUUAGCUUACACCAUUUGAGGUGAGUCAUGCUCUGUCACGAGAUCUAGUGAUGAUGUUAAAUACAGAUGGAGGUUUCAGGUUUGUAAAUUACAUCGUUGCUUUGUUACGCUCUAGUCAUAAAGUGGAACAUUUCUUUCAAGGUUUACCACACUACCACACUCCAUCCCACCAAAAUUAAACACAUUUAGUCAGAUUGUUUUCUCCAAAUGCUUAAUGCUGAUCUAUAACUCAUGGAGUUGUCACUGACCAUGUUACCUGACCAGUAAAAGGAUUUACCAAACUGAGUUUACUGGUCAGGUGAUGUGGCCAGGAAAAGGUUUUACCAAACUGAGUUUACUGGUCAGGUGAUGUGGUCAGGAAAAGGUUUUACCAAACUGAGUUUACUGGUCAGGUGAUGUGGUCAGGGAAAGGUUUUACCAAACUGAGUUUACUGUUCAGGUGAUGUGGUCAGGAAAAGGUUUUACCAAACUGAGUUUACUGUUCAGGUGAUGUGGUCAGGAAAAGGUUUUACCAAACUGAGUUUCCUGGUCAGGUGAUGUGGUCAGGAAAAGGUUUUACCAAACUGAGUUUACUGGUCAGGUGAUGUGGUCAGGAAAAGGGUUUUACCAGGCUGAGUUUCCUGGUCAGGUGAUGUGGUCAGGAAAAGGGUUUUACCAGGCUGAGUUUACUGGUCAGGUGAUGUGGUCAGGAAAAGGUUUUACCAAACUGAGUUUACUGGUCAGGUGAUGUGGUCAGGAAAAGGGUUUUACCAGGCUGAGUUUACUGGUCUGGUGAUGUGGUCAGGAAAAGGGUUUUACCAGGCUGAGUUUACUGGUCAGGUGAUGUGGUCAGGAAAAGGUUUUACCAAACUGAGUUUACUGGUCAGGUGAUGUGGUCAGGAAAAGGUUUUACCAAACUGAGUUUACUGGUCAGGUGAUGUGGUCAGGAAAAGGGUUUUACCAGGCUGAGUUUCCUGGUCAGGUGAUGUGGUAAGGAAAAGGGUUUACCAGGCUGAAUUUACUGCCUACUAGGCACAGAUGUCAAUUCAAUGUCUAUUCCACGUUGGUUCAACUUAAUUUCAUUGAAAUCACGUGGAAACAGUGUUGAUUCAACCAAUGGGUGGGUGGUCAGGUGACUUGGUAAAGAAAAAUGGUUUACCAGACUGAGUUUACUGGUGAGGUGAUCUGGUUAACAAGACUGGGUUUCCUGGUCAGGUGAUGUGGUCAGGAAAAACUCAUGGCCUUACUUAUGGGCAAUAGCAGUAGGACAUUAAAUGUUGCCAUGAUUCAUGACAUCCUCCAUUCAUGAUUCACAGGAAGGGACAAGUUAAUGAUCUGGGGCUUGUGGAGAGUUGAGUCUCUCUAUCGUGUUGAUUUGAGGGUGCUAAUGUUGAGGUGGAGGCCUACUCUGUUGAGCAGUGGUCUGAUAUGGCUCUUCAUUGGCGGUGUCUUCCCAUCCUCCCCCGUGUUGUGUGCGUCAAGCCCAUGGGACAGUAACAAGGUCCAUAUGUAGCCUCUUCCUCCGGCCUCCCCCCCAAACCUGAGGGGGGUAGUGUUAACAGGAUGACAGCCUAUUGAUUUACUCACAGAAAGAGAAGGGGGAAUGAAAGAGUGAGAGUGAGAGAGAGAGAGAGAGAGAGAGAGAAAGAAAGAAAGAAAGAAAGAAAGAAAGAAAGAAAGAAAGAAAGAAAGAAAGAAAGAAAGAAAGAAAGAAAGAAAGAAAGAAAGAAAGAAAGAAAGAAAGAAAGAAAGAAAGAAAGAAAGAAAGAGUAAUAGCUCAAAUAAUUUGAAGUAGAAUCCCCAAAACAUACGGUCAAGAAUCAAGACUAGUUUCUGGGUUGGAAGGUGCCUGUAACUACCACCAGAAACUACUAGAUGUGUGUUUAAUGUGACUUAAACUGCUAGUAAUUUUAGCUUGCUUAUUUUUUUAUGACUAUGUUUUUAUGACUGACACUUUUUAUGACUAACAUUUUCUUACCAGAAGCAUUUGAAGAAGUCAUCCUUUUCA
rnacentral:lncRNA from 1 species